rnacentral:rRNA from 1 species
AGGGUUAAGCAGAGAAAGGCGCAGGGCGGAUGCCUUGGCACUGGGAGCCGACGAAGGACGCGGCAAGCUGCGAAAAGCCAUGGGGAGCCGCACACGGGCAGUGAUCCAUGGGUGUCCGAAUGGGGAAACCCGGCGGGGGAGCACCCCCGCCGCCGCGGGCCGAACACAUAGGCCCGCGGGGGGAACCCGGCGAACUGAAACAUCUAAGUAGCCGGAGGAAGAGAAAGAAAAACGUUUCUGGAAAGAGACAUCGAUUCCGGGAGUAGCGGCGAGCGGAACCGGAGGAGCCCAAACCGGCGUGCUGCGCACGCCGGGGUUCAGGACUGCACACGCGCGCAUGAGCCGAGGCGGAACGGCCCUGGGAAGGCCGGCCGUA